rnacentral:lncRNA from 1 species
UCAUAUGUGAGAUGCAAGAGCAAAAUGAUAAAGUAGGACCCUGGGCAGGGCCAGGAAUUUCAUGAUAUAUAGGAAAUACAUAAACAUACAAAUACAGAUCAGAUUUACUACAGAGCUAAAUUUCACUCUAUUUUGUAUAUACCUUGUUGCCUCAUUGGCUCUGAUAGGAUAAACAUGGUCCUGCAGCCCUUUGCUCAAUCUUACUUACAAAGUCCUAUAAAACCACUGGUAGUGAUGUUGUGAUCACGUGGUCCCUGUGCUCUGAUUUGUUUGUCCUUUUUCAUAAAACUUUAUCUACAGUUGAAUGUGCAGCUAGUUAUAUUUUAUCUUUUGUAUCUUUUCAAAUUCUGUGUUAGUUUCACUACAGUUAAAUUUCUUAGUAACUUAUACUUUUUUGCAAUUGUUUUAGAAUACAACAUUCCUUUAUGAUUAUGAAUUUGCGAUUUAUUGGUGACCAUUGUAUUCUUCUAGUUAAAAUACAGCUAAAGAAUUUCUGAGAAAGCAAACUAGUAUGUGCCUAAAUUUUUGCUUUUGUCAGCGAGGGCUUUGUUAUAUAUCCGCACCCCCUUAAUAGUGUAAUUUACUAUUCAGGAUAUAAUUUGAAUAAAUUAAUUUAUAAAAACACUGAUUAAUAACCUCAUUCAAUAAUUUCUUUAAAAAAUGUUUAAUACCAUCUGCUGAGUCUGUGCUAAUUACUUGAAAUAUAAAGUCAAAAAACACCAAUUAACUACUCCUAGAUGAUUAAGAAAAAUUAAUUUUUUUAACAGUCACAGUAGAGUGUGUUAAAUAUGAUAAGAGUACACUUCAUAUUUGAGCAGGGGCGCCUCAGGUAAUCCAAGAUCUAGAAGGAAAUGUAUCUUCUUAAAACUGAGAUUGUAAUGAAGUUCACUAGAUAAGGAAGGAAUAAGUUAUCCUAAAUGUUUUCAUCAAAUUUACAUAUUUUUAUGUGUUUAUAUUCAGUAAUGGGGAAAAUAAAAAAUGAACAUUCUAGAAAAAUAAGUUAGUUUGGAAUCCAUAUCUAUACUUCUGAGUGUGAGCAGAAUUUAAGGUCAGAAUUGUUUUUCUACAUAGGGACAAGUUUGAUUUAACCAAACUGACCAGCUAGACAGCAGUAGAAAGUCAGAGCUGCUUACUGUGUAUUUAUGACAUAUUUUUAGCUUUCACAAUGUAAGACAUUUGUAAAAAAUUGUCAUGUUGCUGUCUUUAGUAACGUGGUCUCCCCACAAGGUCUAGAUUGUUUUAAGAUUAGUUGAACCCUGAGGCAGUAUAUAUUUUUAUUUGAUGGUGGAUUAGGAAAGCCGUGGAUGGCAUUCCAUAGCUUGUUUAAAACUCUUGCCAAUGUAUCACUGAAGAAACCCUCCUAAAAAGGAGAAACAAAAGUUACUAAAGAAUUUGUACUCUUUAAAGCUGUUUUAUUGGUUUGUUUUUCUUCAUAAUGAAAUGGCACCCAGCUGGAUUCCUCGAAGAUUGAAUGCUAGAAGGUCUUUCUCAGGAUCAAUGAAAAAAUAUCUAUUCAGAAGAUAUCAUAUCUGAUAAAUCAAAAUGAUUCCAAAGAAAGAGAAUAUCUUCUCAUUACAGCUCAAAGACUUUCCCUCAAGUGUUGAUAAGCAGAUAGUCCAGCUUAGUAAACUGCCAUACAAUGACAUCAGAAAUAGCUGUGUCGAGGAUUGAAAAACAAGGAAGACUUGUUCUCUUGUAUUAUCCAGGGACUUCUGAUAAACUAGUAGUAAUUCCUGAGGUUUUCAUUUUAGCCAUUUCCCUGAUACCCAGGCUUACUCUUUCAUAACUACAGCCUUUUCUCUAUUCCCAGAUUCAUUAGACUCAGAUGUUUGCAGACUGAAAAAUGCAGACAAUCUUUAGCAGAGUGUAGCUUUUCUACAUUGAGCUAUUUUUUUCCUCUUUAUGUUUUGCACACUGAAUUGAUAUUAAACUAAGAAGAAUGCAGGUGAGAACAUUUCUCUUUAAUAUAUGCUAAUGACUACAGUUUGGCCCAAAAUGUGCUGCUGUUUCUAUGUAACACUUUGAUACUGCUGGGAAGAUUUUCUCCUAAGUGGUUUUAUAGUUAAUUAUUAUCCUCUUCAUACCUUAAUUUGGAUUCUGUACUACCAUUCAACACUUUCUCAGACUUCCAAUAUCUAGCAAAAUAGCUCAUAGUUUUAUCACCUAUACCGAAGAUUGAGAAAAUAAAGAACAAUUUCUUUUCAGAUUUGAUUUUUGUGUCUUGAAAAACAUUUCAGAGAACAUUAGAAUUUCUAAUAUCUUAUUCUAUUACCUUGAAAAUAGAAAAUUUAAAAUAAAAGCCUAGAUUUGAAAUUAAAUGGAUAUAGUGAAUGUAUUCUAAAAACCCAAUGAAAAUUGCCUUAAACCUCAACCGAUUUAAAAUAAAUGAAUACCUCUUCAACAUGAAUAAUUAUUAGAACAACUUGAAAUUACAGACCUUAAAUGUAGUGUGAAUCAUGUGCUUAUCUUUUGUAACACCUAAGAUAUAUCUAUAGAAACUAACAUCUAUAGAUAGAUGCAGAGAUAGGUAGAUACAUAGAUACAUAAAUUGGUAGGUAGUUAGAUAGGUAGGUAGAUGGAUAGAUAUAGAGGUAUAUAUAAAGACUAUUUUCAGUUGAUUUCUCCUCUAUCUUUUUUUUUUCUUAGUGUUACAAUGAGACUGAGAAUGUAUUAGGACCUUAGAAUCCAUGCAUAGAAGAAUUCUCAGCUGUAAUCUUUGCAGUAGUAGUGGCAUCGUGAAUCCAGUGUCAAUAACCAAUUUCUGUAUUACUUUGUAAGCCUGCUCCACUAUUUACUAGUUUUGUGACUUCAAGAAAACAUUUAAUUUUUUGGAUGUUUAGUUUUUCCUGUGUCAAAUAGAGAAAGAAGAGGAGAAAUAUGGGGGAAGGGAAGUGAUUCCUUCCAAGUAUUGGAAUCUAAUGAUUGAGGACAAGUUAUUGUACUUCGAUAUUAUUUUCCAGUACAUUAUUAUGUAGUGCCUUCUGAAGAGAGUGUGAUGUUUUCUAUAUAUCGUUGCACUUAAAAGCAAACUGGAUGGUGGAUUUUUGUGUGUCCUGGAGAAACACUGCAAUGAUGUUGGCCCCUGAAACAUAAAACACAAUACGGGCUCUGAAUGUAUUGUGAGACCCCUGGGCUCUGCAACGAUGCCUGGCCCAAUCCAUCUAGGUUCUUAGACAGUUCAUCUAAUUACUAGUUUACAGUCAUGCAUCCUUGUUCCUUCAUCCUUGUAGUGCUUCUCUACACUAGAUUUCGUAUCAUUUCUUCCCAAGUGGCAGUGAAAAAAAUGCACCACAAGUGAUGAAACCAGAUGAAGAGAGAGUGAACAGUUGUUCUCUACCAGUGAAGAACAGAGUUCUUCAGCCAUCUUAGCUUAUCUGGUAGAGUUCUUAGGCAUUCUAUAUAAAAGAUAAUGUAAUAAUAAUAAUAGUAAGAAUGAUAAUAAUAAUAAUGUUGUGGUAUCAGGAUCCAGAGGUAAUUACGUACAAAGGAUGGGUUUCAGAGGUAAUUACGUACAAAGGAUGGGUUAUUCAGAGAAAGUUAUACUCACUCCAUGGCCUUAUGGGAACAGAUAAGGUGCUGAAUAAAAGUAAAUCCUACAUAUUGGGAAUAUGUUCAAAUACUUUAAAAUCCCUAGCAUUUAGGAGAAUUUUCUCUGAAAUGUCUUGUAUUCAUCGUAAAAUAAACUAGGCUUCUGAGAAAAGGGAGGUCAGAAUGUAACUUCUAAUAAUUGCAUUGUUAAUAUUUUCUCUCUGUCACUGUAAAAUCCAUAAUAUCAUCUUAUAACGUAGUCAAAAAUUCUUUGAAGACCUUAGGUUAUUUGAAUUUUGUUGAUGUGAGGCCAGAUUCCUAUAAAAGGGCCAACAUUUUUUAAAGUUAAUUCAUCAAUAUCCUUUAACAGAACAAGUAGCCAAAACAAAUAAUUGGCAGUUGUAAGUAGGAUUGAUCAAAUUACAUGAAUGAUAGUUAAUUUAGGUUGCCAUUGACAACCUGUCACUUGUCUAAAAAGGACAUUUGAAGAAACAUUGAACAACUUUUAAGAUGAGCUUGUUAAAACUGCUCAUUUGCUAAUGACAAAGGUAGUUACUUCUGUCAAAUAUAUGUCUGCAAAUAAUAUUUUGACCACACAAUUUAUUUGAUUUUAUUUUCCUAGGAUAAACACACAACCAAGUAUGUUUAGUGAAGGUCAUUAAAAUUGAAUAAUGAGCAAUUAUAAGAAAACAUUAAAUAAUGUUUUUCAAUAAAAAUUAUGACUACAUUCAAAUUUUGCUCUUAUAUAGGCCUUUAGUGACUUAUGAAAUUAUUUAUGUAGGUACAAAAUAAGAGCUCUUUUAUUUGGCUAACUAAUCAAGUAAGUGACUUUUAAUUUGUUGCAGCUGUACAUACAGUGAACAUCCCACUUCACUGAACACUUAAUGCUACCUUUUAUCCUUUAUCAUUUUCUUUAUGAGCUAAGGGAUUGUUCAUUCAAAUUCUUCUAAUCCUCAUAAUACCUGGGCCAUUAUUACAAAUCCUUGCUAUUCGGAUAGCAUCCAAUUUCUUAUGAAUCUCAUGAGUAUUAGAGAAAUCUUGUUAAAUUAAAAUAGAGGUAUCACAUCCUGCCUUGAAUUUCAUUUGCAAGUCAGUGGUUUAAGUGCUAACAUAAAGAAAGGGCUCACUUGAAACUCACACUACCAGUUUUCUUUUUUUUUCCCUGUUUGCGGGUAUGCCACACUUAGAAGGCCAUCUCUCAUCAAUAUGCAACAGCCAGAAAAAAUAUUACUUUUGAGCUCUUUUCUUUAUCAUAAAUAAGACUGACUAAAGUAGAGGUAGAGAUGGAGAGGGAUUCAUGGAGGCAGCAGUUCUAAGGGAUGUAGAAAUCUGUGAUCAAUGGCACAAAAUGGAAUAUUUUUAGGAUACAUUGACUUAAAAUAUAUUAUCCAUUAUAGUCCUCAUCUUGAUAGUAACACAUUCCCUUUGG